GGGGGUGUAGUUUAGUGGUAGAACAUCUACUUCGCAUGCAGAGGAAGGUCCUAGAUUCAAUUUCUGUGCUAGGCAUUUUCA